rnacentral:rRNA from 1 species
GAUGAACGCUGGCGGCGUGCCUAAUACAUGCAAGUCGAGCGAACAGACGAGGAGCUUGCUCCUCUGACGUUAGCGGCGGACGGGUGAGUAACACGUGGAUAACCUACCUAUAAGACUGGGAUAACUUCGGGAAACCGGAUCUAAUACCGGAUAAUAUAUUGAACCGCAUGGUUCAAUAGUGAAAGACGGUUUUGCGGUCACUUAUAGAUGGAUCCGCGCCGCAUUAGCUAGUUGGUAAGGUAACGGCUUACCAAGGCAACGAUGCGUAGCCGACCUGAGAGGGUGAUCGGCCACACUGGAACUGAGACACGGUCCAGACUCCUACGGGAGGCAGCAGUAGGGAAUCUUCCGCAAUGGGCGAAAGCCUGACGGAGCAACGCCGCGUGAGUGAUGAAGGUCUUCGGAUCGUAAAACUCUGUUAUUAGGAAAGAACAAAUGUGUAAGUAACUAUGCACGUCUUGACGGUACCUAAUCAGAAAGCCACGGCUAACUACGUG